CGGCAAUCUAGGACGCCGUCUGUCACGCAGGCAUCCUCGCGGGGUCCCACGUGCCUGGCUGCACACUGCAUCUUCUCCAUAGUGCAGGCCGCCUGUUGCUUGCCUGGGCUGCCCAAGGGGACCCUGGAGACAGCC